rnacentral:rRNA from 1 species
CCGGAAACGGGUGCUAAUACUGGAUAUUCACUGAUCUUCGCAUGGGGGUUGGUGGAAAGGUUUUUUCUGGUGGGGGAUGGGCUCGCGGCCUAUCAGCUUGUUGGUGGGGUGAUGGCCUACCAAGGCUUUGACGGGUAGCCGGCCUGAGAGGGUGACCGGUCACAUUGGGACUGAGAUACGGCCCAGACUCCUACGGGAGGCAGCAGUGGGGAAUAUUGCACAAUGGGCGAAAGCCUGAUGCAGCGACGCCGCGUGAGGGAUGGAGGCCUUCGGGUUGUAAACCUCUUUCGCUCAUGGUCAAGCCGCAACUUAGGGUUGUGGUGAGGGUAGUGGGUAAAGAAGCGCCGGCUAACUACGUGCCAGCAGCCGCGGUAAUACGUAGGGCGCGAGCGUUGUCCGGAAUUAUUGGGCGUAAAGGGCUUGUAGGCGGUUGGUCGCGUCUGCCGUGAAAUCCUCUGGCUUAACUGGGGGCGUGCGGUGGGUACGGGCUGACUUGAGUGCGGUAGGGGAGACUGGAACUCCUGGUGUAGCGGUGGAAUGCGCAGAUAUCAGGAAGAACACCGGUGGCGAAGGCGGGUCUCUGGGCCGUUACUGACGCUGAGGAGCGAAAGCGUGGGGAGCGAACAGGAUUAGAUACCCUGGUAGUCCACGCUGUAAACGUUGGGCACUAGGUGUGGGGGCCACCCGUGGUUUCUGCGCCGUAGCUAACGCUUUAAGUGCCCCGCCUGGGGAGUACGGCCGCAAGGCUAAAACUCAAAGGAAUUGACGGU